rnacentral:rRNA from 1 species
CCAGCAGCCGCGGUAAUACGUAGGGUGCGAGCGUUAUCCGGAAUUAUUGGGCGUAAAGAGCUCGUAGGCGGUUUGUCGCGUCUGUCGUGAAAGUCCGGGGCUUAACCCCGGAUCUGCGGUGGGUACGGGCAGACUAGAGUGCAGUAGGGGAGACUGGAAUUCCUGGUGUAGCGGUGGAAUGCGCAGAUAUCAGGAGGAACACCGAUGGCGAAGGCAGGUCUCUGGGCUGUAACUGACGCUGAGGAGCGAAAGCAUGGGGAGCGAACAGGAUUAGAUACCCUGGUAGUCCAUGCCGUAAACGUUGGGCACUAGGUGUGGGGACCAUUCCACGGUUUCCGCGCCGCAGCUAACGCAUUAAGUGCCCCGCCUGGGGAGUACGGCCGCAAGGCUAAAACUCAAAGGAAUUGACGGGGGCCCGCACAAGCGGCGGAGCAUGCGGAUUAAUUCGAUGCAACGCGAAGAACCUUACCAAGGCUUGACAUGUUCUCGAUCGCCGUAGAGAUACGGUUUCCCCUUUGGGGCGGGUUCACAGGUGGUGCAUGGUUGUCGUCAGCUCGUGUCGUGAGAUGUUGGGUUAAGUCCCGCAACGAGCGCAACCCUCGUUCCAUGUUGCCAGCACGUCGUGGUGGGGACUCAUGGGAGACUGCCGGGGUCAACUCGGAGGAAGGUGAGGACGACGUCAAAUCAUCAUGCCCCUUAUGUCUUGGGCUUCACGCAUGCUACAAUGGCCGGUACAAUGGGUUGCGAUACUGUGAGGUGGAGCUAAUCCCAAAAAGCCGGUCUCAGUUCGGAUUGGGGUCUGCAACUCGACCCCAUGAAGUCGGAGUCGCUAGUAAUCGCAGAUCAGCAACGCUGCGGUGAAUACGUUCCCGGGCCUUGUACACACCGCCCGUCAAGUCACGAAAGUUGGUAACACCCGAAGCCGGUGGCCUA